rnacentral:rRNA from 1 species
AUUGAACGCUGGCGGCAGGCCUAACACAUGCAAGUCGAGCGAGCGGCGGACGGGUGAGUAAUGUAUGGGGACUGCCCGCUAGAGGGGGAUACCUACUGGAAACGGUGGCUAAUACCGCAUACUGUCGGAUAACCCAUCUGGGAUUAGCUAGUAGGUAAGGUAAUGGCUUACCUAGGCGACGAUCCCUAGCUGGUUUGAGAGGACGACCAGCCACACUGGGACUGAUACACGGCCCAGACCCCUCCGGAGGCAUCAGUGGGGAAUUUUGGACAAUGGGGGAAACCCUGAUCCAGCCAUCCCGCUUGUGCGAUGAAGGCCUUCGGGUUGUAAAGCACUGUUGGCAGGAAAGCGGUACCUGCAGAAUAAGCACCGGCUAACUACGUGCCAGCCGCCGCGGUAAUUC